GGCCUGGUGGUCUAGUAGUAUGAUUCCUUCUUAGGGCUAUUGGUCAUUUGGAGGAGGUCCCGGGUUCAAUUCCCGGCCAGGCCC